AUCGCUUCUCGGCCUUUUGGCUAAGAUCAAGUGUAGUAUCUGUUCUUAUCAGUUUAAUAUCUGAUACGUCCCCCAACAGGGGACUAAAUAUUAAAUUGCUUUUUGGAACAGGGAGCUGCGAUUGGGGCUUGCGCCAUCCGCUCCACGCAUCGACCUGGUAUUGCAGCGCUUCCAGGAACGGUGCACUUCUC